rnacentral:rRNA from 1 species
GAGUUUGAUCAUGGCUCAGAUUGAACGCUGGCGGCAGGCCUAACACAUGCAAGUCGAACGGUAACAGGAAGCAGCUUGCUGCUUCGCUGACGAGUGGCGGACGGGUGAGUAAUGUCUGGGAAGCUGCCUGAUGGAGGGGGAUAACUACUGGAAACGGUAGCUAAUACCGCAUAAUGUCGCAGGACCAAAGAGGGGGACCUUCGGGCCUCUUGCCAUCGGAUGUGCCCAGAUGGGAUUAGCUUGUUGGUGGGGUAACGGCUCACCAAGGCGACGAUCCCUAGCUGGUCUGAGAGGACGACCAGCCACACUGGAACUGAGACACGGUCCAGACUCCUACGGGAGGCAGCAGUGGGGAAUAUUGCACAAUGGGCGCAAGCCUGAUGCAGCCAUGCCGCGUGUAUGAAGAAGGCCUUCGGGUUGUAAAGUACUUUCAGCGGGGAGGAAGGGAGUAAAGUUAAUACCUUUGCUCAUUGACGUUACCCGCAGAAGAAGCACCGGCUAACUCCGUGCCAGCAGCCGCGGUAAUACGGAGGGUGCAAGCGUUAAUCGGAAUUACUGGGCGUAAAGCGCACGCAGGCGGUUUGUUAAGUCAGAUGUGAAAUCCCCGGGCUCAACCUGGGAACUGCAUCUGAUACUGGCAAGCUUGAGUCUCGUAGAGGGGGGUAGAAUUCCAGGUGUAGCGGUGAAAUGCGUAGAGAUCUGGAGGAAUACCGGUGGCGAAGGCGGCCCCCUGGACGAAGACUGACGCUCAGGUGCGAAAGCGUGGGGAGCAAACAGGAUUAGAUACCCUGGUAGUCCACGCCGUAAACGAUGUCGACUUGGAGGUUGUGCCCUUGAGGCGUGGCUUCCGGAGCUAACGCGUUAAGUCGACCGCCUGGGGAGUACGGCCGCAAGGUUAAAACUCAAAUGAAUUGACGGGGGCCCGCACAAGCGGUGGAGCAUGUGGUUUAAUUCGAUGCAACGCGAAGAACCUUACCUGGUCUUGACAUCCACGGAAGUUUUCAGAGAUGAGAAUGUGCCUUCGGGAACCGUGAGACAGGUGCUGCAUGGCUGUCGUCAGCUCGUGUUGUGAAAUGUUGGGUUAAGUCCCGCAACGAGCGCAACCCUUAUCCUUUGUUGCCAGCGGUCCGGCCGGGAACUCAAAGGAGACUGCCAGUGAUAAACUGGAGGAAGGUGGGGAUGACGUCAAGUCAUCAUGGCCCUUACGACCAGGGCUACACACGUGCUACAAUGGCGCAUACAAAGAGAAGCGACCUCGCGAGAGCAAGCGGACCUCAUAAAGUGCGUCGUAGUCCGGAUUGGAGUCUGCAACUCGACUCCAUGAAGUCGGAAUCGCUAGUAAUCGUGGAUCAGAAUGCCACGGUGAAUACGUUCCCGGGCCUUGUACACACCGCCCGUCACACCAUGGGAGUGGGUUGCAAAAGAAGUAGGUAGCUUAACCUUCGGGAGGGCGCUUACCACUUUGUGAUUCAUGACUGGGGUGAAGUCGAAACAAGGUA